rnacentral:misc_RNA from 1 species
ACGUAGGACAUCAAGCAAUUUCAGGAAAUAUGGAGCAGAUGAGCAGAAGUUGGUAGCUUCCCAUCAUAAUUAAACAAAAAAUCUCAGACAAAAAUGAUCUCAAAAAGUCUUAAUAUUGCAGCAAGGCAUGAAAUAUAACAGACUUGUUCUAAAUAACAUCCCUCAAAGCUAAACAAAAUACAAGAUCCAAAAAUCCUAUAUAUCAAUGACACUGAUAAGAAAGUUCUCAAGCAGCAAUCUUCUUGAGCUUAGCAAGCUCCUGUCUCACAACUCCAGCUCUCUUAAUCUUUGCCAGCAUAAGCUUGAACCUGUCAAAAUCGUUAAGUGCAGCUCUCCUCUUCUGCACUAUCAACUUCCUUCCCCAUGAACUGUUCUCCCACUUGGUCUUCACAUCAGCAGCUUCCAUAGCCUCAACCAGGGUCUUCUUCUUUGGAAUUCUCUUGAUGUCGAUCUUGACAUCUGUGAGGGAAAGCCUCUUGAAGUUCAUCUGGCUCCUCACCAUGUCAGGAGCAUCAACAAGAGCCCUGUUUUGGUCGAUAACGUCAACAAUGACGACGAGCCUCCCAUAGUCCUCCCCGUAGUUAACGAGUGCAACUCUUCCGAUCUCCACAAACCUCUUGAACGGCAUUUUUACUGAUCUGAAGGAGCUGUGAAGCUGCGAAAAAAGAGUGAGACGAAAG